ensembl:miRNA gga-mir-3524b gga-mir-3524b
GGGUUGGCUUUAAGAUCCCUUCCGACCUAAGUCAUUCUAUGAUUCUGUGAUGAUAAAGAAUCACAGAAUCACAGAAUUGUGGGAUGGCUGAGGUUGGAAGGAACCUCCUG